rnacentral:rRNA from 1 species
UGAGGAAUAUUGGUCAAUGGACGCAAGUCUGAACCAGCCAAGUAGCGUGCAGGAUGACGGCCCUAUGGGUUGUAAACUGCUUUUAUAUGGGGAUAAAGUGGGGAACGUGUUCCCUUUUGCAGGUACCAUAUGAAUAAGGACCGGCUAAUUCCGUGCCAGCAGCCGCGGUAAUACGGAAGGUUCGGGCGUUAUCCGGAUUUAUUGGGUUUAAAGGGAGCGUAGGCUGUCUAUUAAGCGUGUUGUGAAAUAUACCGGCUCAACCGGUGGCUUGCAGCGCGAACUGGUCGACUUGAGUAUGCAGGAAGUAGGCGGAAUUCAUGGUGUAGCGAUGAAAUGCUUAGAUAUCAUGACGAACUCCGAUUGCGCAGGCAGCUUACUGUAGCAUAACUGACGCUGAUGCUCGAAAGUGCGGGUAUCAAACAGG